rnacentral:tRNA from 1 species
GCAGUGGUGGUAAAGUGGUAGAAUUCUUGCCUUUUGUGUGGGAGGCUCAGGUUUGAUUCCUGGCCAAUGCA